rnacentral:misc_RNA from 1 species
AACGCACGAGACCUGCGGACCUGCGGAGGGAUCAUUAUUGAAUUUACUUGUGAGCGCUGUGCUGGCCAGCAAUGGCACUGUGCACGCGUUUGCAUUUAAACAUUUUCUUCUUGUGAACCUUAUGUAGUCGUUGCGGAGGGCUUCAUUGCCCUGAGGAAGCUAGUCAGUAGUUUUGUGAAAGCAGAGCGAAAGCUAGUGGAGCCAACUGACUAUGAUUUAUAUACCUAUCUUUAAAACCUA